UUUCCUACGGGGCGCAGCAGUGGGGAAUAUUGCACAAUGGGCGAAAGCCUGAUGCAGCAACGCCGCGUGAAGGAAGAAGGGUUUCGGCUCGUAAACUUCUAUCAACAGGGACGAAAGAAAUGACGGUACCUGAAUAAGAAGCCCCGGCUAACUACGUGCCAGCAGCCGCGGUAAUACGUAGGGGGCAAGCGUUAUCCGGAUUUACUGGGUGUAAAGGGAGCGCAGGCGGCACGGCAAGCCUGAUGUGAAAGCCCGCGGCCCAACCGCGGGACUGCAUUGGGAACUACCGGGCUGGAGUGGCGGAG
rnacentral:rRNA from 1 species